GAGAAACAAAAUAGGGAAACCAAAGGCAUUUUCAAGGCUUUUUCCUUGAGGAGUCUGCCCAUAGCAAAGUGAGAAAGAAAGGAGAAAGAAAGAAAGGAAGAAAAAAGGAAGAAGAAAAAGGAAAGGAAAGAUUGGUUUGGUAAACCUGAAGCAAGUAAGGAAGAAUCUACAAGGAUUCAAGGGACCCAAGGCAUGCAUGUUAGUAGAUCUUGGAAUGUAAGGUGAUUUUGGAGCUAAAUAAGUAAUGGCAAAGGUGACCUUAGGUGUGAGGAAGUUGUGAAUCAUAUUUGAAAAUUCAAGCUUAAACCUAGAGAUAAGUAAUUGGUGUAAGUGCAUCACCCAGCACAUCAAGACUAACUGCAACGUAGGUAAUGGCAUCUCUUAGACUUCCACUCCGAGUCGCUCCUCUGCCUAGAGGUCAUGUUGUGUCAAGUAGUCAGACUUAUAAUGAUAAAUAGUUUAUGGAAAUGUAUUUGCUAAAACUUAAGGUUGUGUAAUGAUUACCACUUAUUAUGUUGAAUAUAUUGUAAAGUUAUUAAACCUGGUUUUUGGUGUCUAGGUGAUACAUUUUGAAUAUUGUGAUCAUUUGGUUUAAGUGAACUAUAGCA